GUUAAGCGACUAAGCGUACACGGUGGAUGCCCUGGCAGUCAGAGGCGAUGAAGGACGUGCUAAUCUGCGAUAAGCGUCGGUAAGGUGAUAUGAACCGUUAUAACCGGCGAUUUCCGAAUGGGGAAACCCAGUGUGUUUCGACACACUAUCAUUAACUGAAUCCAUAGGUUAAUGAGGCGAACCGGGGGAACUGAAACAUCUAAGUACCCCGAGGAAAAGAAAUCAACCGAGAUUCCCCCAGUAGCGGCGAGCGAACGGGGAGCAGCCCAGAGCCUGAAUCAGUGUGUGUGUUAGUGGAAGCGUCUGGAAAGGCGCGCGAUACAGGGUGACAGCCCCGUACACAAAAAUGCACAUGCUGUGAGCUCGAUGAGUAGGGCGGGACACGUGGUAUCCUGUCUGAAUAUGGGGGGACCAUCCUCCAAGGCUAAAUACUCCUGACUGACCGAUAGUGAACCAGUACCGUGAGGGAAAGGCGAAAAGAACCCCGGCGAGGGGAGUGAAAAAGAACCUGAAACCGUGUACGUACAAGCAGUGGGAGCACGCUUAGGCGUGUGACUGCGUACCUUUUGUAUAAUGGGUCAGCGACUUAUAUUCUGUAGCAAGGUUAACCGAAUAGGGGAGCCGAAGGGAAACCGAGUCUUAACUGGGCGUUAAGUUGCAGGGUAUAGACCCGAAACCCGGUGAUCUAGCCAUGGGCAGGUUGAAGGUUGGGUAACACUAACUGGAGGACCGAACCGACUAAUGUUGAAAAAUUAGCGGAUGACUUGUGGCUGGGGGUGAAAGGCCAAUCAAACCGGGAGAUAGCUGGUUCUCCCCGAAAGCUAUUUAGGUAGCGCCUCGUGAAUUCAUCUCCGGGGGUAGAGCACUGUUUCGGCAAGGGGGUCAUCCCGACUUACCAACCCGAUGCAAACUGCGAAUACCGGAGAAUGUUAUCACGGGAGACACACGGCGGGUGCUAACGUCCGUCGUGAAGAGGGAAACAACCCAGACCGCCAGCUAAGGUCCCAAAGUCAUGGUUAAGUGGGAAACGAUGUGGGAAGGCCCAGACAGCCAGGAUGUUGGCUUAGAAGCAGCCAUCAUUUAAAGAAAGCGUAAUAGCUCACUGGUCGAGUCGGCCUGCGCGGAAGAUGUAACGGGGCUAAACCAUGCACCGAAGCUGCGGCAGCGACGCUUAUGCGUUGUUGGGUAGGGGAGCGUUCUGUAAGCCUGCGAAGGUGUGCUGUGAGGCAUGCUGGAGGUAUCAGAAGUGCGAAUGCUGACAUAAGUAACGAUAAAGCGGGUGAAAAGCCCGCUCGCCGGAAGACCAAGGGUUCCUGUCCAACGUUAAUCGGGGCAGGGUGAGUCGACCCCUAAGGCGAGGCCGAAAGGCGUAGUCGAUGGGAAACAGGUUAAUAUUCCUGUACUUGGUGUUACUGCGAAGGGGGGACGGAGAAGGCUAUGUUGGCCGGGCGACGGUUGUCCCGGUUUAAGCGUGUAGGCUGGUUUUCCAGGCAAAUCCGGAAAAUCAAGGCUGAGGCGUGAUGACGAGGUACUACGGUGCUGAAGCAACAAAUGCCCUGCUUCCAGGAAAAGCCUCUAAGCAUCAGGUAACAUCAAAUCGUACCCCAAACCGACACAGGUGGUCAGGUAGAGAAUACCAAGGCGCUUGAGAGAACUCGGGUGAAGGAACUAGGCAAAAUGGUGCCGUAACUUCGGGAGAAGGCACGCUGAUAUGUAGGUGAAGUCCCUCGCGGAUGGAGCUGAAAUCAGUCGAAGAUACCAGCUGGCUGCAACUGUUUAUUAAAAACACAGCACUGUGCAAACACGAAAGUGGACGUAUACGGUGUGACGCCUGCCCGGUGCCGGAAGGUUAAUUGAUGGGGUCAGCGCAAGCGAAGCUCUUGAUCGAAGCCCCGGUAAACGGCGGCCGUAACUAUAACGGUCCUAAGGUAGCGAAAUUCCUUGUCGGGUAAGUUCCGACCUGCACGAAUGGCGUAAUGAUGGCCAGGCUGUCUCCACCCGAGACUCAGUGAAAUUGAACUCGCUGUGAAGAUGCAGUGUACCCGCGGCAAGACGGAAAGACCCCGUGAACCUUUACUAUAGCUUGACACUGAACAUUGAGCCUUGAUGUGUAGGAUAGGUGGGAGGCUUUGAAGUGUGGACGCCAGUCUGCAUGGAGCCGACCUUGAAAUACCACCCUUUAAUGUUUGAUGUUCUAACGUUGACCCGUGAUCCGGGUUGCGGACAGUGUCUGGUGGGUAGUUUGACUGGGGCGGUCUCCUCCUAAAGAGUAACGGAGGAGCACGAAGGUUGGCUAAUCCUGGUCGGACAUCAGGAGGUUAGUGCAAUGGCAUAAGCCAGCUUGACUGCGAGCGUGACGGCGCGAGCAGGUGCGAAAGCAGGUCAUAGUGAUCCGGUGGUUCUGAAUGGAAGGGCCAUCGCUCAACGGAUAAAAGGUACUCCGGGGAUAACAGGCUGAUACCGCCCAAGAGUUCAUAUCGACGGCGGUGUUUGGCACCUCGAUGUCGGCUCAUCACAUCCUGGGGCUGAAGUAGGUCCCAAGGGUAUGGCUGUUCGCCAUUUAAAGUGGUACGCGAGCUGGGUUUAGAACGUCGUGAGACAGUUCGGUCCCUAUCUGCCGUGGGCGCUGGAGAACUGAGGGGGGCUGCUCCUAGUACGAGAGGACCGGAGUGGACGCAUCACUGGUGUUCGGGUUGUCAUGCCAAUGGCACUGCCCGGUAGCUAAAUGCGGAAGAGAUAAGUGCUGAAAGCAUCUAAGCACGAAACUUGCCCCGAGAUGAGUUCUCCCUGACCCUUUAAGGGUCCUGAAGGAACGUUGAAGACGACGACGUUGAUAGGCCGGGUGUGUAAGCGCAGCGAUGCGUUGAGCUAACCGGUACUAAUGAACCGUGAGG
rnacentral:rRNA from 1 species